AUGCUAACAACUCAUCGUCUUCUUCCUUGUAACAAAACCUAUCAUGUGUGUUUUAACAGUUUUGUGCAUCAAUAUUCAGAUCAACACCACGCCUUCAAUUCUCAACCAUUUUCAACGAAACAAAGUGCAAACCAAAUAUCUAACAAUAAGCUACCACCAACAAUUCAUGGAUUUCAAAACCAUCAACAGAUCAAACCACAAUCAUCACACGAAAAUCCAGAAAAUCAUCCAUAUCCAAAUUUUCAUAAGUUGAAAACAAUAUCUAGGCCUCAAAUUGAAGUAAACACAUAUUUCAUUCCUAUUGUUUAG